AAAGCGGAUCAAGCGGUCGCUCCCAUGUGCCGCCACAAGCGGUCAAAGGGAGAGGAAAGUCCGGACUCCAUAGGACAGGGUGGCUGCUAACGGCGGCCCCGAGCAAUCGGGGGAAAGUGCCACAGAAAAGAUACCGCCCCGUGAAAUAAAUGACCCCAAGGCGUCACCGAAGCGCUCGCAGCUGAGUCCCAUUCCAGUUGCGUGGACUGCCCGCGCAAGCUGGCUAUUUCACGGGGUAAGGGUGAAAAGGCGAGGUAAGAGCUCACCGGUCCGCCAGUGAUGGUGGAUGCUAGGUAAACCCCACCUGGAGCAAGACCAAAUAGGAGGGUUGGGUGGUCCGCCCAAAACUCUCGGGUAAGGUCGCUGGACCCCAUGAGCAAUCAUGGGGCAAGAGGAAUGAUCGCUAGGGCGUCUUAUUAAGGUGCCCCACAGAAUCCGGCUUACGAUCCACUUUAGCC
rnacentral:RNase_P_RNA from 1 species